GUGAGGCGCGUGCAAAAUGUUCAAACAGUGCCUUGUGUCAAAAGUCAUUUGUUAUAAUUGAAAAUAUAAUUAAAAAACAAACAGAAAAAAAAACAAAUUCCAGCACGCGCGAAUGUCCAAUGAGGGGCACAAUCGAAUUUGAAGUGUGACCGCAUUUUUAUAUUUUAGAUGUUAUUUACUAUCAAUUGACUGUUGAAGGGACCUACGUCAAAAUGCACCCUGACUAUCAAUCAAAAUUCAAUAUGUACAAAAGAACGUUACUAUACAAGCUUGUCGAUAGAUACUCAUCGACUAUCUCUAUGAGGCGCUACAAAUGUCAAUUAAUAAAGUCAAAGUACACGAAACUCACUAACAAUAAAUGCUAAAGUGAAAUGGGAAAGACAAAUCCGAAUGAAAAUUGAAAGGCUAGAGACUGUACUCAUAGUAUGGAUGAAGUACAGGUAUGCUCGGUGAGCUCAUUAACUUGACAGGUCUAACGACUUGAACUGAAAAGUCACCUUUAUGACAUCGGCAGUCGGCAAGCCGCAUAAAUUUCAUAUGGAAAUUGCAAUUGUGGUGAACGCACUUGGCAACAAGUUCCUCACAAUGGAACUGAAAUCGAAACUGAAAUUGGAAUUGAAAUUGGAACUGAGCAACGAGAACCUAUUGUUUAAUAAUGUAUUAAUAGCUAUAAGCAUUUAUAAUCAAAUCGAAUCACAAGAAUUUAGCUCGUGUUAACUUGUUUUUCUGCAGCUGAUCUAUUGUGGAAUAAAUAUUUGCAGUUUGAAUUAUCGAUCAUGCACCUUCUAUAUCGUGACAAGCCCAAUAAGAAUUAGGUGCAAAAAUAAAUAUAUUAUAAAAUGCCAGUCGACUUACUCUACACACUUUACUUUACUUU